AGUUAUGAAUGAUACAAAUUGCAUAAUCCCAUGGGCAGAGGUACAGACAAAGAACCUUAAACGACUGUUUCAUAAUGCUCAGACAAACACAGUGUACUUGAUUACUGACAGAAACUUAUUUAUAUCAUGUGUAGUAUGUAGACCACCAUGACUCCUUUAAUUUGAAACAAAGGUAUCAAAAGCAGUCAUUGUUUUCCCUCAUAAACAUUGCCGGCAUUCCUCUCUGUGUUCAAAGGGCAUCUUUAAUUCCAACGUCUGUGUUCUUUCUGGUGGAAAUAAGACUUUUCUCUCUGAAAUCUCCUAUGUGUACCUUAAGGAGAGGGAGGGGGGGUGGAGGGAGAUACAUAUUGAAAGCCUGCCAGAUACCACAUCUGCCUCUCUUUGCACCUCAAAGGGUGAAGCCAAACAGCAAGGUGGCGAAGAGGAGUAAACCGAUAAAUUAACACUGUGAGGGCUACCCUCUCUCUUUCUGUCAAACAACUGUAGGUGAUCUUUUCCCCCUGCCCUGGAAAAAAAAACAACCCCUCACGCAAUCUAGUUACCGGUUUUCUAGCUGGCAAAUGCAAUCUGUAACACCUGUGCAACAGAUACACACAGAUGUACAUAUCCGGCUGUCAAUCCAUCUGUGGAAGGCACUGGAUGGAACUGUUUGUCUUUGAAGAGGUGGAAAGGAGGGCAGAUUCACGUACACCACAGUUAAGGAAUCUGUUUUCUCCUACUGCUCAUUGUUUACAUAUUGUGUUCUGUUCAUAUUUUCUCUCUGUCGUUCUAGGACCGCGCAGGUAGCUGCAACUGAGGCAAUAUAGCCAGAGACUCACAGAGCUAGUGGCGUCUGUUCUGUGGCUAGCAAAACUUAACAAGGUUUCCUGUGAUUGAAGAGACAUGUGUGAAGACCGUCCUAGUCCUUGCUGUUAAGAUAUCUUUAUGGAGCAAGGUAGAUCUGCACUGAAGAUGGCAGGCAGAGUAGGGCAAUCCUGGCCUCCAGCCAUCUCUUCAGCCUUCCUAUAUAUACCCUGUUAUCAAACCAUCAGGAAACAGGUCUACUGCUGCUACACAUUGAGUCAAUGUUUUCUGUGUUUCACCAAACUGGCGAGUUUUGAUCAUAAGAAAACAUCCUUACAAGGAAGCUUGUUACUGCACAGUUGGUAUCCAGUCAGUGACUGAGUUCAAGAACUGUCUCUUUUUAGAUGGCAGGUGAGUACCACAUGCUUCAGUCCUGCCUAACAUAAAACAAACAAACAAAGCACUUCCUCUGUGUGUGGAUAACUAUCCUAGCCUU